GUGGUAGUUAAAAGCAAUUGACAGAAUGAUAAUAACUAUUACAUAAUUUCACAGUUGUUGAAAAUGUUGUAUUAUCGCAAUAUUACAUAAAUAUUCGCAAAUAUUUAUUAUACAAAUAUUUAAAAAAUAAUUGUAAGAGUGUACAAAAUUAUAUUGCACAAAAUUAAGUUAUUUAUAUUAAAUCAUAAUAAAAACAAAUCAAGUGAAUAUGAGGAAAUUGGUUGUUUUAGUAUUUUUGAUAGCUACGGUUGGAUGCUUAGUAAGACGUAGUUUUCCCAUAAACAAAAAAGGAUUUUAUGAGACAACAGAGCGUAAUGGUAUGAGGGCGUUAUGCAAACUAAAGCCUACAACAACUUGCAAAAAAGUCUGUGUUAAAACUAUAUGCUACAAUAUAUGUCAACCCGAUAAAGUUGUAACAUGUCAACUAUAAUUAUAAAAGAAGAAUGUUUGUAAUAUCCUAAAACUAAACUAUAACAAAUUUAGAUUCUGUUUUUUUA